GUUUCUUUAGUAUACAUAGUACAGUUGCCUUCCAAGCAAAAAGCUUGAUAAAUCAAAAGAAAUA
rnacentral:tRNA from 1 species